UACGGGGGGGGCAAGCGUUGUUCGGAAUUACUGGGCGUAAAGGGCUCGUAGGCGGCCAACUAAGUCAGACGUGAAAUCCCUCGGCUUAACCGGGGAACUGCGUCUGAUACUGGAUGGCUUGAGGUUGGGAGAGGGAUGCGGAAUUCCAGGUGUAGCGGUGAAAUGCGUAGAUAUCUGGAGGAACACCGGUGGCGAAGGCGGCAUCCUGGACCACUACUGACGCUGAGAAGCGAAAGCAUGGGGAGCGAACAGG
rnacentral:rRNA from 1 species